GGUCGGCGAGGCGGUGGACGCGUUUGUCGUUCACGCCGACGACGAUGUCGCCGAUCUCGCCGGAUUGCGGAUCGACGCCGCGCAGGCCG
rnacentral:tRNA from 1 species